AUCGGCCAUUCUUUGAAUUUUUACUUUUCUAGUUGAAAAUAUUAUUUAAGUUUAAUCACAUAAUUUUAGUGCUCUAUUUUUAUUCAUUGAAUUAAUCUUUUAUUUUAAAACAAUUUAUCAAGAUGCUAAGAAUUCAACUCAUACUUCUGUAAAGAAUUUAGAGUUAUCAUAAUUGCUUGAUGAAGGAAACAUGAUUCAGAGUUCACUUAUCGUAAUCCCCUUUAUUACAAACAAACAAAAUCAGCUAACGGCGAUUUCACCACAAAAUCAGCUUAUGACUAUAUGACGCAAUCUGGUUCAAAAUCAGCUAACGGCGAUUUCACUUUCUUGUUCGCACAGACAGUCAUUUCCGUUUUCCAGUUCUCUGCAGAGUACAUCUUUUAAGCGUGAUUGCCUUCAAUUUUAUUGCAGGAGAUAUUUGCCGUGGAGUUUUAGAUUGAUUAACAUUCAAUGGCUCAAUGGCAGAUUUUCAUCAGUUUUAGAGGAGAAGAUACUCGCUACUCUUUUACGGGUUUUCUCUAUGAUGCUCUUUGUCGAGGAGGAUUCAAGACAUUCAUGGAUGUUGACGGAUUGCACAAGGGGGACCAAAUUUCACCCGCUCUUAUUAAUGCAAUUGAAGCAUCAAGACUUUCAAUUGUUGUGUUAUCUGAAAACUAUGCAAGUUCCUCUUGGUGUCUUGAUGAGCUUGCUAAGAUCAUUGAGUGCAUGCAAUCAAGGAAUCAAUUGGUCUGGCCUAUCUUUUACAAAGUGGAACCAACAAACAUCAGGAAACUAGAAAACAAUUAUGGUGAGUCUAUGACCAACAAUUAGGAAGUGACUCAGACAGAUUUGAAAAAUGGAAGUCUGCUUUGGCUAAAGUUACUGGUUUGGCUGGAGAAACUUAUAAAAUUGCCGGGUACGAGUACGAAUAUAAAUUUAUCCAAAAGAUCGUGGAAGAUGCCGAUAAGAUUAAAAAUCGAUUGUAUAUACGAAGUGUGGACAUGGACUAGAAGGAUGCCUAUAUUUCCCCUUACAAUAAGUGCUACACUAGACAUAAGUGCUACUUGUCAGAAAUGAAUUACGAUUGUAAUAUACAAGUUCAAUGAUAUGUUGUUUUUGAAUAUAUUUGUCAUACUCAAACUUAUCUUCUUCAUUUGUUGCAUAUAUCUCUCAGUGGUCUGCUAUAGAAUUC